rnacentral:lncRNA from 1 species
AUGGCAGGGGACGCGAGUGCCGGGAGCGGGCACCUGGCACCAGCGUGGCACGAGCUGGAAGCCUCGAAAGAAAGACGGGCACAAGACAGGAGCUGCUGGCACGCCGGGAAGGCUCCAGCAUGCCCAGUCCGUCUAGUGGCUCCCCUCGGGGUCCGAGAUGUGCGUUUUCAUCUGCAAGGAGAAAAGCAGAGCGGGGCACUCGGGUGCACCCCGGGGAGCACGGAGCGUCCCUUCCAGAGCCCACCAGGACCCGAUUUUGGCAAAGCAGGGAGCUGGGGGAAGGCAGCUGGCCCCUGCCUUACCGUCUCCUCUGUGUCCGUGCUCUCCUCUGCGCUGUCGAUGGCACGCAGGUGCCCGUCCCCUCCUGUCCCCUCCUUGCCCCGGGAGCCCUCUCCCACCGGGGACGGUGACGCUGCGCCCGCCUCCGCCCUCUUCUUCUCGCUCUCCUUGCACCCUGCGGGGACAGGGACAGCAGGAGCUGGGUGUGCCCAUGCAGAGCACCAGCCCCGUGCUCACAGGGGCAGGGGGCAAAGCCCCAUGGCACCAAAGGGGAUGAGGGGAGGGGACCGGUGCGGGGAACGUCUCAGCGGGGUUUGGACUCGGCAGAGUCCGGGGCAGGCAGCAUCCCUCACCCGAGAGCCGCUCUCUCCGCUGGUCCAUGCGCUCCAGGCUCUCCAGCAGGCUGUCCACCUGCGCCUUGAUCUGGCUCAGCUCCCCCUUGAUGGAGUGCAGCUCCUCGGCUCGCACUGCGGGCGAGAGGAGCUGUCGGGAUCCCACCCCACACCUCGUAGCAACGAGGUCAGCACCGAGCAAGAGGUGUGGGCACAGGCACUGCUGCAACGCCCCGAGGUGCACACAGCCAGGCUCCCCGGCUCGUUGCCUCCCGCAGGACCCAGCCCCUCCAGCCCAGCCGCCCCGUCCCGCUCACGUUUUGUCCGUGUCCCCGUGGAGCUGCUGCUGCUGCUCCGUGCCCCGGGCUGGGGGCUCGGGCUGCUUUUGCCUCCUGCUCCUGCGUGA